AAAAUAAAAGAAAAGAAAAAUCAAAUGGAGUGGGUGGGGGUAGACAGCAUAAUACUUAUGCAAAGAGAGCCUCAUACCUGAGGCUCUAAAGGCCCAGGUUCAGGGUGUGUGUGUGUGUGUGUGUGUGUGUGUGUGUGUGUGUCUCGCACCACCAUCAGCCAAAGCUCAGCAGGUUGCUCUGUUAAAAAAAAAAAAAAAAUCAAA